rnacentral:ncRNA from 1 species
UGAUAGGGAUCAGGGACUGCAAUUCUUCCCCAUAAACAAGGAAUUCCCAGCAAGUGUGGGUUAUAAAUUCAUGUUGAUUAAGUCCCUGCCCUUUGUACACACUGCCUGUUGCUAUUACUGAUUGGAUGGUUUAGUGAGGUCCUCGGAUCAGCCCUGGCAGGUUCAGCCCCAGCCCUGCCAGAGCAUCAAGAAGACAGUUGAACUUUACUAUCUAGAGGAAGUAAAAGUCCUAACAAGGUUUCCAUAAGUGAACCGGCAGAAGGAUCAUUA